AUUGAACGCUGGCGGCGUGCUUAACACAUGCAAGUCGAUCGGUAACGCGGGGGCAACCCUGGCGACGAGAGGCGGACGGGUGAGGAACGCUUGGGAAUCUGCCUAUCAGCGGGGGACAACCCGGGGAAACUCGGGCUAAUACCGCAUACGCUCUACGGAGGAAAGCCGGGGACCGCAAGGCCUGGCACUGAUAGAUGAGCCCAAGUCGGAUUAGCUAGUUGGCGGGGUAACGGCCCACCAAGGCGACGAUCCGUAGCUGGUCUGAGAGGACGGUCAGCCACACUGGGACUGAGACACGGCCCAGACUCCUACGGGAGGCAGCAGUGGGGAAUAUUGGACAAUGGGGGCAACCCUGAUCCAGCGACGCCGCGUGGGUGAAGAAGGCCUGCGGGUUGUAAAGCCCUUUCGGUAGGGACGAAAGCUCUCGACCUAACACGUCGGGAGGUUGACUUAACCUACAAAAGAAGCACCGGCUAACUCUGUGCCAGCAGCCGCCGUAAAAC
rnacentral:rRNA from 1 species